GAUGAACGCUGGCGGCGUGCCUAAUACAUGCAAGUCGAGCGAACAGACGAGGAGCUUGCUCCUCUGACGUUAGCGGCGGACGGGUGAGUAACACGUGGAUAACCUACCUAUAAGACUGGGAUAACUUCGGGAAACCGGAGCUAAUACCGGAUAAUAUAUUGAACCGCAUGGUUCAAUAGUGAAAGACGGUUUUGCUGUAACUUAUAGAUGGAUCCGCGCCGCAUUAGCUAGUUGGUAAGGUAACGGCUUACCAAGGCGACGAUGCGUAGCCGACCUGAGAGGGUGAUCGGCCACACUGGAACUGAGACACGGUCCAGACUCCUACGGGAGGCAGCAGUAGGGAAUCUUCCGCAAAGGGCGAAAGCCUGACGGAGCAACGCCGCGUGAGUGAUGAAGGUCUUCGGAUCGUAAAACUCUGUUAUUAGGGAAGAACAAAUGUGUAAGUAACUAUGCACGUCUUGACGGUACCUAAUCAGAAAGCCACGGCUAACUACGUG
rnacentral:rRNA from 1 species